GAUGGCUGAAUUUUAGGCGAUAAAUUGUAAAUUUAUUUAUGACUUUAUGUCUCA
rnacentral:tRNA from 1 species